rnacentral:lncRNA from 1 species
AGGUCUGCGAGAGAACAACAUUGCAACCAUCAAAGAAGGAGCAUUCACGGGGCUUUCAAAUUUAAACGUAUUGUAAGUUCGUUCAGUUUCUUGAUACUAUUUUCCGAAAGUAAUAAUUGAUGCUGAUAUAUAAGCUCACAAAUGUAUAAAAUUUCAGACUGAACCAAACAAAAUUAAUUCAAAUUUGUAGAAUGAACACGAUUUAGGAAUAUACAAAGAGAAUAUGAGAGAGCGAGACAAUGUGAAAGAAAGAGAGAGAAUUUGAGAGAGAAAGUGAAAUAAUGGGAAAAAUAUAAUGUUCCUUUAUUGUAGUUGCUUUGUUUCAAUUCGCAUCUCAAUAACUCAUUUUUGUUCCCCAAAUUUCAAUGAUUUUGAUAUGAAUUUGUAUUAGAAAUGGUAACGUUUGUGAGUUUACAUGUUUGCAUCAAAUAUUUUUAGCUGAAGUAUAUGUGUAUGUUCAUAUAUAAGUGUAGUUCUGUGUGAAAUGUGACUAUAUUAUUCCUUUAUUUUAUAUUUUGCAUCCUCCUCCAUUUCUUAUUUCAAUAUUCUCCUUCGUGUUUCGAUAUUAUCAUUCAACUUCGAAUUUUGUCAUUCACUUCACGUUAUUUAUGUAAUAGAGCAACUGAAGUGGAAGCGGAAAAUAUAUAUUCGAAUAAUAUAGUCACAUACAUUCUAUCUGUAAACCUGAAAUACUUACUGUACUUGUAAGCUGGAAUAUUUGGCCUGAUACAAUUAAACUGCUGAUAUAUUUCUUGUAAGCGUGUGUUUUCUAAUAUUCUUGUGACAAUGAAGCGAUAUGAAAUAAAUAAUCUCUCUCACCAUAUUUCCACAAGGGUGAGUGGGAAUAUGUGUGAUGUGAGUGUGCAUACCGCAUUCCGUCGUUGAUACUAUGAAUAUAAGAAUGUGUAUGAGUGCAUUUGAAUAUGUUGAUUUCUGAUUCCGUAUAUUCCCUGAUUUUUCAGCCAUGUCUUUUCGCCCAAAAUUUUUCAUUCUAUCCUUGAAUUAUUUCCUGAUAUUUCGAAAUUAUUUUCAGUUUCAUCUUAAACACCAUGAUUUUCAAUGUGUCUUCUUCUUCGUCUUCUUCUUCUUCUUCUUCUUCUUCUUCUUCUUCUUCUUCUUCUUCUUCUUCUUCUUCUUCUUCUUCUUCUUCUUCUUUUUGUUCUUUUUCUUAUUCUACUUCUCCUUCUCUGCCUUUUUCAUCAUCUUUUUGUCAUUUCGUCUUCUGCCUCCUCCUCCUCCUUCUUCUUCUUCUUCUUCUUCUUCUUUUUCUUCUUCCACUUCUACUUCAUCUACUUCUUCUUCUUCUUCUUCUCUUCUUUUCUUUUUCUUCUAUUUCACCUCCUUCUCCUCCUCCUCCUGGUCCUCCUCCUCCUCCUGGUUCUCCUCCUCCUCCUGGUCCUCCUCCUCCUGGUCCUCCUCCUCCUGGUCCUCCUCCUCCUUCCUCUUCUAAUAUUUUUCUUAUUAUUAUUCUUCAUUUUCUUCUUUAAAUUCUCUUCCCCCUCCACUCCGCCCCUCCUCCUCCUAUUUCUUCUUGUAAUUCUCUUCCUCCCCUCCUCUCCUGCUCCUUUUUCUUUUUUCUUCUUUUUCUUCUCCGUCUUCUUCUUCUUCUUCGUCUUCUUCUUCUUCAUCUACCCUUCAUCUUCUUCUUCUUCUUCUUCUUCUACUUUCAACUUCUUCAUCUACCCUUCCUCCUCCUCCUCCUUCUUCUUAUUCUUAUUCUUAUUCUUUUUCUUCUACACCUACUUUUUCCCUAUCAUCCUCUUCCUCCUCCUUUUUCCUCUUCCUUCUUCUACUUCUUUUUUUCAUCUUCUUUUUUCUACCCAAUCCUCUCCGCCCCUCCUCCUCCUCUUUUUCUUCUAAUUCUCUUCCUCCCUUCCAUUCCUGCUUCUUCUUCUUCUUCUAAUUCUUCUUCUUUUCCUCCUCCUCCUUCUUUUUCUUUUCUUCUUCUCAUUCUUCUAUUUCUUUUUUUCUUCUUAUAUUCUUCUUCUUCUUUCUACUUCUUUAUCUACUUCUCCUCCUACCCCUCUUUCUUCUUCUUAUAUUCUUCUUUUUGUUAUUCUCAUCCUCCUCCUCCUCCUCCUCCUUCAUCUUCUUCUUCUUUUUCAUCUUCUCCUACUUAUUCUCCCCCUUCAUUCCCUACUCCUCCUCCUUUUUCCUCCACUUCCUUCUUCUUCUUCUUCUACAUCUUCUCCUCCUCCUCCUUCUCCUUCUUAACUUCUGUUUUUGUUAUUCUCUUUCUCCUUCUCCUCCUCCUCCUCCUCCUCUUCUUCUUCUUCAUCUUCUUCUUCAUUUUCCUGCUUCAAAUUCUUCUACGUCUUCUUCUUGUUCUGCCCUUCCUUCUUCUUGCAAUUCUUCUUGUUCUUCCUCCCCCUCCUCAUCCUCCUUCUUUUUCGUCUUCUUCUUCUUCUUCUUCUACUUCUUCUUCUUCUUCUCCUCUUUUUCUCCUUCUGCCUUAUUCUUAUCUUCUUCUUCUUGUUAUUCUCUUCCUCCUCCUCCUCCUCCUCCUUCUUCUUCUUCUUCUUUUCACCUUCCGCCUCCUCCUCCUUUUUCCUCCUAUUCCUUCUUGCUCUUCUUUUUCUUCUUCUUCUUCUUCUCCUUUCUUUCUUCUAAUUCUUCUUCGCCUCCUCCUCUUCCUUCUUCUUAUUCUUCCUUUUCUUCUUCGUUAUCUUUCUUCUUUUUCUUCCUUUCAUUCUCAAGUCACAGUGUUUGAUGUUGUAUCACAAAUAUUUUCCAUAUAAUCUACAUUAUUCUUUCUUUACUGCUAUAGAAAUCUGCAACGGAACAACAUUGCAACCAUCACAGAAGGUGUAUUCACGGGGCUUUCAAAUUUAAAAGACUUGUAAGUUCGUUCAGUUUCUUGAUACUAUUUUCCGAAAGUAAUAAUUGAUGCUGAUAUAUAAGCUCACAAAUGUAUAAAAUUUCAGACUGAAUCAAACAAAAUCAAUUCAAAUUUGUAGAAUGAACAAGAUUUAGGAAGAUACAAAGAGAAUAUGAGAGAGCGAGACAAUGUGAAAGAAAGAGAGAGAAUUUGAGAGAGAAAGUGAAAUAAUAGGAAAAAUAUAAUGUUCCUUUAUUGUAGUUGCUUUGUUUCAAUUCGCAUCUCAAUAACUCAUUUUUUGUUCCCCAAAUUUCAAUGAUUUUGAUAUGAAUUUGUAUUAGAAAUGGUAACGUUUGUGAGUUUACAUGUUUGCAUCAAAUAUUUUUAGCUGAAGUAUAUGUGUAUGUUCAUAUAUAAGUGUAGUUCUGUGUGAAAUGUGACUAUAUCAUUCCUUUAUUUUAUAUUUUACAUCCUCCUCCAUUUCUUAUUUCAAUAUUCUCCUUCGUGUUUCGAUAUUAUCAUUCAACUUCGAAUUUUGUCAUUCACUUCACGUUAUUUAUGUAAUAGAGCAACUGAAGUGGAAGCGGAAAAUAUAUAUUCGAAUAAUAUAGUCACAUACAUUCUAUCUGUAAACCUGAAAUACUUACUGUACUUGUAAGCUGGAAUAUUUGGCCUGAUACAAUUAAACUGCUGAUAUAUUUCUUGUAAGCGUGUGUUUUCUAAUAUUCUUGUGACAAUGAAGCGAUAUGAAAUAAAUAAUCUCUCUCACCAUAUUUCCACAAGGGUGAGUGGGAAUAUGUGUGAUGUGAGUGUGCAUACCGCAUUCCGUCGUUGAUACUAUGAAUAUAAGAAUGCGUAUGAGUGCAUUUGAAUAUGUUGAUUUCUGAUUCCGUAUAUUCCCUGAUUUUUCAGCCAUGUCUUUUCGCCCAAAAUUUUUCAUUCUAUCCUUGAAUUAUUUCCUGAUAUUUCGAAAAUAUUUUCAGUUUCAUCUUAAACACCAUGAUUUUCAAUGUGUCUUCUUCUUUCUUCUUCUUCUUCUUCUUCUUCUUCUUCUUCUUCUUCUUCUUCUUCUUCUUCUCUUCUUCUUUUUGUUCUUUUUCUUAUUCUACUUCCUCCUUCUCUGCCUUUUUCAUCAUCUUUUUGUCAUUUCGUCUUCUGCCUCCUCCUCCUUCUUCUUCUUCUUCUUCUUCUUCUUCUUCUUCUUCUUUUCUUUCUUCCACUUCUACUUCAUCUUCUUCUUCUUCUUCUUCUUUUCUUCUUCUUCUUUUCUUCUUCUUCUGCUCCUCCUCCUCCUGGUCCUCCUCCUCCUCCUGGCCUCCUCCUCCUCCUGGUCCUCCUCCUCCUCCUGGUCCUCCUCCUCAUCCUGGUCCUCCUCCUCCUCCUGGUCCUCCUCCUCUCCUGGUUCUCCUCCUCCUGGUCCUCCUCCUCCUCCUGGUCCUCCUCCUCCUUCCUCUUCUAAUAUUUUUCUUAUUAUUAUUCUUCAUUUUCUUCUUUAAAUUCUCUUCCCCCUCCACUCCGCCCCUCCUCCUCCUAUUUCUUCUUGUAAUUCUCUUCCUCCCCCUCCUCUCCUGCUCCUUUUUCUUUUUUCUUCUUUUUCUUCUCCGUCUUCUUCUUCUUCUUCUUCGUCUUCUUCUUCUUCUUCUUCUUCCUCUUCUUCUUCUUCUUCUUCUACUUUCAACUUCUUCAUCUACCCUUCCUCCUCCUUUCUUCUUAUUCUUAUUCUUAUUCUUUUUCUUCUACACCUACUUUUUCCCUAUCAUCCUCUUCCUCCUCCUUUUUCCUCUUCCUUCUUCUACUUCUUUUUUUCAUCUUCUUUUUUCUACCCAAUCCUCUCCGCCCCUCCUCCUCCUCAUUUUUCUUCUUCUAAUUCUCCUCCUCCCUUCCAUUCCUGCUCCUUUUCUUCUUCUUCUGCUUCUUCUUCUAAUUCUUCUUCUUCUUCCUCCUCCUCCUUCUUUUUCUUUUCUUCUUCUCAUUCUUCUAUUUCUUUUUUUUCUUCUUAUAUUCUUCUUCUUCUUUCUACUUCUUUAUCUACUUCUCCUCCUACCCCUCUUUCUUCUUCUUAUAUUCUUCUUUUUGUUAUUCUCAUCCUCCUCCUCCUCCUCCUUCAUCUUCUUCUUUUUCAUCUUCUCCUACUUAUUCUCCCCCUUCCUCCUCCUCCUCCUCCUUUUUCCUCCACUUCUUCUUCUUCUUCUUCUUCUUUACAUCUUCUCCUCCUCCUCCUUCUCCUUCUUACUUAUUCUUUUGUUAUUCUCUUUCUCCUUCUCCUCCUCCUCCUCCUCCUUCUUCUUCUUCAUCUUCUUCUUCUUUUUCCUGCUUCAAAUUCUUCUACCGUCUUCUUCUUGUUCUUCCUUCCUUCUUCUUGCAAUUCUUCUUCUUCCCCUCCCCCUCCUUCAUCCUCCUUCUUUUUCGUCUUCUUCUUCUUCUUCUUCUUCUCCUUCUUCUUCUCCUUCUUCUUCUCCUUCUUCUUCUUCUCCUUUCUUCUUUCUACUUCUUCAUCUACUUCUCCUCCUCCUCUUCCUCGUCUUUCUUAUUCUUAUCUUCUUCUUCUUGUUAUUCUCUUCCUCCUCCUCCUCCCCCUCCUUCUUCUUCUUCUUUUUCUCCUACAUCUUCUUCCCGUUUAUCAGCCUCUCCUCUUUUUCCUCCUAUUCCUUCUUGCUCUUCUUUUUUCUUCUACCUCUUCUCCUUUCUUCUUCUAAAUCUUCUUCGCCUCUUCCUCUUCCUUCUUCUUCUUCUUUUCUUCUUCGUUAUCUUUCUUCUUUUUCUUCCUUUCAUUCUCAAGUCACAGUGUUUGAUGUUGUAUCACAAAUAUUUUCCAUAUAAUCUAUUUUACUCUUUCUUUACUGCUAUAGAGAUCUGCAAUGGAACAACAUUUGCAACCAUCAAAAGAAGGUACAUUCACGGGGCUUUCAAAUUUAAAAGAAUUGUAAGUUCGUUCAGUUUCUUGAUACUAUUUUCCGAAAGUAAUAAUUGAUGCUGAUAUAUAAGCUCACAAAUGUAUAAAAUUUCAGACUGAACCAAACAAAAUCAAUUCGAAUUUGUAGAAUGAACAAGAUUUAGGAAGAUACAAAGAGAAUAUGAGAGAGCGAGACAAUGUGAAAAAAAGAGAGAGAAUUUGAGAGAGAAAGUGAAAUAAUAGGAAAAAUAUAAUGUUCCUUUAUUGUAGUUGCUUUGUUUCAAUUCGCAUCUCAAUAACUCAUUUUUGUUCCCCAAAUUUCAAUGAUUUUGAUAUGAAUUUGUAUUAGAAAUGGUAACGUUUGUGAGUUUACAUGUUUGCAUCAAAUAUUUUUAGCUGAAGUAUAUGUGUAUGUUCAUAUAUAAGUGUAGUUCUGUGUGAAAUGUGACUAUAUCAUUCCUUUAUUUUAUAUUUUACAUCCUCCUCCAUUUCUUAUUUCAAUAUUCUCCUUCGUGUUUCGAUAUUAUCAUUCAACUUCGAAUUUUGUCAUUCACUUCACGUUAUUUAUGUAAUAGAGCAACUGAAGUGGAAGCGGAAAAUAUAUAUUCGAAUAAUAUAGUCACAUACAUUCUAUCUGUAAACCUGAAAUACUUACUGUACUUGUAAGCUGGAAUAUUUGGCCUGAUACAAUUAAACUGCUGAUAUAUUUCUUGUAAGCGUGUGUUUUCUAAUAUUCUUGUGACAAUGAAGCGAUAUGAAAUAAAUAAUCUCUCUCACCAUAUUUCCACAAGGGUGAGUGGGAAUAUGUGUGAUGUGAGUGUGCAUACCGCAUUCCGUCGUUGAUACUAUGAAUAUAAGAAUGCGUAUGAGUGCAUUUGAAUAUGUUGAUUUCUGAUUCCGUAUAUUCCCUGAUUUUUCAGCCAUGUCUUCUCGCCCAAAAUUUAUCGUUCUAUCCUUGAAUUAUUUCCUGAUAUUCUGAGAACAUUUUCAGUUUCGUCUUUAACAACAUGAUUUUCAAUGUAUCUUCUUCUUCUUCUUCUUCUUCUUCUUCUUCUUCUUCUUCUUCUUCUUCUUCUUCUUCUUCUUCUUCUUCUUCUUCUUCUUCUUCUUCCUCCUUCUCUUCUUCUUCUUCUUCUUCUUCUUCUUCUUCUCUUUGUUUUCACUUCUUCUUCUUUUCUUCUUCCUCUCCUCCUGCUCCUUCUCCUCCUUCGUUUUCUUCUCUUCUUUUUCUUCUUUUCCUUCUUCUUCUUCUCUUCUUUUCUUUUCUUCUACUUCUACUCCUCCUCUCCUUCCUCUUCUAAUUUCUUUCUUCUUCUUAUUCUUCAUUUUCUUCUUUAAUUCUCCCCCCUCCACUCCGCCCCUCCUCCUCAUUUUCUUCUUGUAAUUCUCCUCUCCCCUCCUUCUGCUCGUUUUUCUUCUUCUUCUUCUUCUUCUUCUUCUUCUUCUUCGUCUUCUUCUUCUUCUUCUUCACUUCAUUCCUCCUUUUUCCUCCUAUUCCUUCUUGCUCUUCUUUUUCUUCUACCUCUUCUCCUUUCUUCUUCUUCUAAUUCUUCUUCGCCUCCUCCUCUUCCUUCUUCUUCUUCCUUUUUCUUCUUCUUCUUUUCUUCCUUUCAUUCUCAAGUCACAGUGUUUGAUGUUGUAUCACAAAUAUUUUCCAUAUAAUCUAUUUUACUCUUUCUUUACUGCUAUAGAGAUCUUGGAUGGAACAACAUUGCAACCAUCAAAGAAGGAGCAUUCACGGGGCUUUCAAAUUUAAAGGGAUUGUAAGUUCGUUCAGUUUCUUGAUACUAUUUUCCGAAAGUAAUAAUUGAUGCUGAUAUAUAAGCUCACAAAUGUAUAAUAUUUCAGACUGAACUAAACAAAAUUAAUUCAAAUUUGUAGAAUGAACACGAUUUAGGAAUAUACAAAGAGAAUAUGAGAGAGCGAGACAAUGUGAAAGAAAGAGAGAGAAUUUGAGAGAGAAAGUGAAAUAAUGGGAAAAAUAUAAUGUUCCUUUAUUGUAGUUGCUUUGUUUCUAUUCGCAUCUCAAUAACUCAUUUUUGUUCCACAAAUUUCAAUGAUUUUGAUAUGAAUUUGUAUUAGAAAUGGUAACCUUUGUGAGUUUACAUGUUUGCAUCAAAUAUUUUUAGCUGAAGUAUAUGUGUAUGUUCAUAUAUAAGUGUAGUUCUGUGUGAAACGUGAAUAUAUUAUUCUUUUAUUUUAUAUUUUGCAUCUUCCUCCAUUUCUUAUUUCAAUAUUCUCCUUCGUGUUUCGAUAUUAUCACACAAUUUCGAAUUUUAUCAUUCACUUCACGUUAUUUAUGUAAUAGAGCAACUGAAGUGGAAGCGGAAAAUAUAUAUUCGAAUAAUAUAGUCACAUACAUUCUAUCUGUAAACCUGAAAUACUUACUGUACUUGUAAGCUGGAAUAUUUGGCCUGAUACAAUUAAACUGCUGAUAUAUUUCUUGUAAGCGUGUGUUUUCUAAUAUUCUUGUGACAAUGAAGCGAUAUGAAAUAAAUAAUCUCUCUCACCAUAUUUCCCCAAGGGUGAGUGGGAAUAUGUGUGAUGUGAGUGUGCAUACCGCAUUCCGUCGUUGAUACUAUGAAUAUAAGAAUGCGUAUGAGUGCAUUUGAAUAUGUUGAUUUCUGAUUCCGUAUAUUCCCUGAUUUUUCAGCCAUGUCUUCUCGCCCAAAAUUUUCAUUCUAUCCUUGAAUUAUUUCCUGAUAUUUGAAAAUAUUUUCAGUUUCAUCUUAAACACCAUGAUUUUCAAUGUGUCUUCUUCUUCUUCUUCUUCUUCUUCUUCUUCUUCUUCUUCUUCUUCUUCUUCUUCUUCUUCUUCUUCUUCUUCUCCUUCUUCUGUGUAUUGUUCUUUUUCUUAUUCUACUUCUCCUUCUCUGCUUUUUUCAUCAUCUUUUUGUCUUUUCGUCUUCCGCCUCCUCCUCCUCUUCUUCUUCUUCUUCUUCUUCUUCUUCUUCUUCUUCUUCUUCCACUUCUACUCCAUCUACUUCUUCUUCUUCUUCUUCUUCUACUUUUCUUCUUCUUCUAUUUCACCUCCUUCUCCUCUCCUCCUGGUCCUCCUCCUCCUGGUCCUCUCCUCCUCCCUUCUGGUCCUCCUCCUCCUGGUCCUCCUCCUCCUCUUCCUCCUCUUCCUGGUCCUCCUCCUCCUCCUCCUGGUCCUCUUCCUCCUCCUGGUCCUCCUCCUUCCUCUUCUAAUUUUUUUCUUAUUAUUAUUCUUCAUUAUAUUUUUUAAAUUCUCUUCCCCAUCCACUCCGCCCUUCCUCCUCCUAUUUCUUCUUGUAAUUCUCUUCCUCCCCCUCCUCUCCUGCUCCUUUUUCUUUUUCUUCUUUUUCUUCUUCCGUCUUCUUCUUCUUAUUCUUCUUCUUCGUCUUCUUCUUCUUCUUCUUCUCCUUCUUCUUCUUCUUCUUCUUCUUCUUCUUCUUCUUCUACUUUCAACUUCUUCAUCUACCCUUCCUCCUCCUCCUUCUUCUUCUUCUUAUUCUUAUUCUUUUUCUUCUACACCUACUUUUUCCCUAUCAUCAUCUUCCUCCUCCUUUUUCCUCUUCCUUCUUCUACUUCUUUUUUUCAUCUUCUUUUUUUCUACCCAAUCCUCUCCGCCCCUCCUCCUCAUUUUCUUCUUGUAAUUCUCCUCCUCCCUUCCUUUCCUGCUCCUUUUCUUCUUCUUCUGCUUCUUCUUCUAAUUCUUCUUCUUCUUUUCCUCCUCCUCCUUUUCUUUUCUUCUUCUCAUUCUUCUAUUUCUUUUUUUUCUUCUUAUAUUCUUCUUCUUCUUUCUACUUCUUUAUCUACUUCUCCUCCUACCCCUCUUCUUCUUCUUAUAUUCUUCUUUUUGUUAUUCUCAUCCUCCUCCUCCUCAUCUUCUUCUUUUUCAUCUUCUCCUACUUAUUCUCCCCCUUCAUACUCCUACACCUCCUCCUCUUUUUCCUCCACUUCCUUCUUCUUCUUCUUCUUCUACUUCUUCUCCUCCUCCUCCUUCUCCUUCUUAACUUCUGUUUUUGUUAUUCUCUUUCUCCUUCUCCUCCUCCUCCUCCUCCUCCUUCUUCUUCUUCAUCUUCUUCUUUUUUCCUGCUUCAAAUUCUUCUACGUCUUCUUCUUCUUGUUCUUCCCUUCCUUCUUCUAGCAAUUCUUCUUCUUCCCCUCCCCCUCCCUAUCCUCCUUCUUUUUCUUCUUCUUCUUCUCCUUCUUCUUCUCCUUCUUCUUCUUCUCCUUCUUCUUUCUACUUCUCCUCCUCCUCUUCCUCGUCUUUCUUAUUCUUAUCUUCUUCUUCUUGUUAUUCUCUUCCUCCUCCUCCUCCACCCUCCUUCUCCUUCUUUUACUUUUUCUCCUACAUCUUCUUCCCUUUUUUCAGCCUCCUCCUCCUUUUUCCUCCUAUUCCUUUCUUGCUCUUCUUUUUCUUCUACCUCUUCUCCUUUCUUCUUCUUCUUCUUCUUCUUCUUCUCCUCCUCCUCUUCCUUCUCCUUCUUCUUCUUCUUCUUCUUCUUCUUCUUCUUUUCUUCCUUUCAUUCUGAAGUCACAGCGUUUGAUGUCGUAACACAUAUUUUCCAUAUAAUCUAAUUUACUCUUUCUUUACUGCUAUAGAGCUCUGAACGAGAACAACAUAGCAACCAUCAAAGAAGGAGCAUUCACGGGGCUUUCAAAUUUAAAGGGAUUGUAAGUUCGUUCAGUUUCUUGAUACUAUUUUCCGAAAGUAAUAAUUGAUGCUGAUAUAUAAGCUCAC